rnacentral:rRNA from 1 species
UACGGAGGAUGCAAGCGUUAUCCGGAAUGAUUGGGCGUAAAGCGUCCGCAGGUGGCAAUGUAAGUCUGCUGUCAAAGCGUCUGGCUCAACCAGAUAAAGGCAGUGGAAACUACGUAGCUAGAGUAAGGUAGGGGUAGAGGGAAUUCCUGGUGUAGCGGUGAAAUGCGUAGAGAUCAGGAAGAACACCGGUGGCAAAAGCGCUCUGCUGGACCUUAACUGACACUGAGGGACGAAAGCUAGGGGAGCGAAUGGG